rnacentral:ribozyme from 1 species
UUUUUUUUUUUUUUUUUUUUUUUUUUUUUUUUUUUUUUUUUUGAACUCAAGAAUUUUAUGGA